UACGUAGGGUGCGAGCGUUAAUCGGAAUUACUGGGCGUAAAGCGUGCGCAGGCGGUUUGUAAGCCAGAUGUGAAAUCCCCGGGCUUAACCUGGGAAUGGCAUUUGGGACUGCAAGGCUUGAGUGCGGCAGAGGAGACUGGAAUUCCUGGUGUAGCAGUGAAAUGCGUAGAUAUCAGGAGGAACACCGAUGGCGAAGGCAGGUCUCUGGGCUGACACUGACGCUCAUGCACGAAAGCGUGGGGAGCAAACAGG
rnacentral:rRNA from 1 species